UACGAAGGGGGCUAGCGUUGUUCGGAUUUACUGGGCGUAAAGCGCACGUAGGCGGGCUAAUAAGUCAGGGGUGAAAUCCCGGGGCUCAACCCCGGAACUGCCUUUGAUACUGUUAGUCUUGAGUAUGGUAGAGGUGAGUGGAAUUCCGAGUGUAGAGGUGAAAUUCGUAGAUAUUCGGAGGAACACCAGUGGCGAAGGCGGCUCACUGGACCAUUACUGACGCUGAGGUGCGAAAGCGUGGGGAG
rnacentral:rRNA from 1 species